rnacentral:rRNA from 1 species
GCUUACGGCCAUACCACCCUGUCUGCGUCCGAUCUUUUCUGAUCUCGGAAGCUAAGCAGGGUCGGGCCUGGUU